UGAUUGAUCAUCAUCUUCUAGUGCAAUUUUUUUAAUGUUCUAAACCAAACCAAUCGAUCGCCAUCCGUCACGAUGCGUAUAAUACGCGUCGGAUAAGCCGCUGCAAAGUUAUAAUAGUAACUGCCAAAGAAAGUAUUCCAUUCAUUGUUGAUCAGUCUUUGAAAUAAUUUAUGAGGGAUCAAUGUUUAACACGAUGUUUAGAACAAACCAUUCACGUGUUUUCAAAAGCUAGCUGCCUGCUGAUAUGCUUUCAAUGCUUGUGGUCUAAAGCGAUCAAAUUGGACGCCCACAGUCUGCCUCAAAGUUUCAAAUUCGCUAUUUUGAAAUGCAACUACCAGCCAUUUUGAAUUUAGCUAAAUAUAAUCCUUUUUAUAUAUAAUAAAACUCGCAUGUAAAUUAAAGUUAUCUCUCAUCACAUUUAUUAUUAUUUCUCUGUC
rnacentral:lncRNA from 1 species